AUGUACCUGCCAUCGACGUCGUACACAGGUUAUUACGAUGCUUCUACCCCGACAAGCGUCUCAUGGCAAGCUUCACACAAUGCAGAUGCAGCACAUCAAUUUGGUGUUACGGAACACACAAGAUGGGCACAUAUAGCACAUCAAGGGCCUACGACUAAAGUGAACAGCGGCGCAGGGGCAUCUACUGCGGGAAGCUCUGAGCGCAUGGAAGACGCGGUCCUCCAGCCAGACACAAGCCAUGCCGCAUACAAUACCGAGUCAGAGUCAGAAAUGGCAAUCAUUCCUGCAAUGCCGACAAGCACCCCUUUGAACACAAGCACUAGCAACACUCAAGCAGAUCAAACCGCCACCGAUACUGAAGUGAAUGAUGAAACUGACGAUGAGGCACAAGGGGAUGAAGAUGGUGGGCAAUCAGAGAUCGUGGUACCUCAGCCACUGUACGUUGGGCAGAGAUUUGAAUCAUUCAAAGAAGCAAAGGAAUUCUACCAGACAUAUGCAAAGUCCCAUGGGUUUGCGGUCAACACCGAAUACCAUAGGAAGAUAAAGAAAACAAACGAGUACAACAGAGGUGAGAUGAGGUGCCACAAGGCACGAAGGAACAAGAAGGGGAAAGGUGUUGCGCCUUGA
rnacentral:rRNA from 1 species